rnacentral:rRNA from 1 species
CAAGUCGAACGAACUCUGGUAUUGAUUGGUGCUUGCAUCAUGAUUUACAUUUGAGUGAGUGGCGAACUGGUGAGUAACACGUGGGAAACCUGCCCAGAAGCGGGGGAUAACACCUGGAAACAGAUGCUAAUACCGCAUAACAACUUGGACCGCAUGGUCCGAGUUUGAAAGAUGGCUUCGGCUAUCACUUUUGGAUGGUCCCGCGGCGUAUUAGCUAGAUGGUGGGGUAACGGCUCACCAUGGCAAUGAUACGUAGCCGACCUGAGAGGGUAAUCGGCCACAUUGGGACUGAGACACGGCCCAAACUCCUACGGGAGGCAGCAGUAGGGAAUCUUCCACAAUGGACGAAAGUCUGAUGGAGCAACGCCGCGUGAGUGAAGAAGGGUUUCGGCUCGUAAAACUCUGUUGUUAAAGAAGAACAUAUCUGAGAGUAACUGUUCAGGUAUUGACGGUAUUUAACCAGAAAGCCACGGCUAACUACGUGCCAGCAGCCGCGGUAAUACGUAGGUGGCAAGCGUUGUCCGGAUUUAUUGGGCGUAAAGCGAGCGCAGGCGGUUUUUUAAGUCUGAUGUGAAAGCCUUCGGCUCAACCGAAGAAGUGCAUCGGAAACUGGGAAACUUGAGUGCAGAAGAGGACAGUGGAACUCCAUGUGUAGCGGUGAAAUGCGUAGAUAUAUGGAAGAACACCAGUGGCGAAGGCGGCUGUCUGGUCUGUAACUGACGCUGAGGCUCGAAAGUAUGGGUAGCAAACAGGAUUAGAUACCCUGGUAGUCCAUACCGUAAACGAUGAAUGCUAAGUGUUGGAGGGUUUCCGCCCUUCAGUGCUGCAGCUAACGCAUUAAGCAUUCCGCCUGGGGAGUACGGCCGCAAGGCUGAAACUCAAAGGAAUUGACGGGGGCCCGCACAAGCGGUGGAGCAUGUGGUUUAAUUCGAAGCUACGCGAAGAACCUUACCAGGUCUUGACAUACUAUGCAAAUCUAAGAGAUUAGACGUUCCCUUCGGGGACAUGGAUACAGGUGGUGCAUGGUUGUCGUCAGCUCGUGUCGUGAGAUGUUGGGUUAAGUCCCGCAACGAGCGCAACCCUUAUUAUCAGUUGCCAGCAUUAAGUUGGGCACUCUGGUGAGACUGCCGGUGACAAACCGGAGGAAGGUGGGGAUGACGUCAAAUCAUCAUGCCCCUUAUGACCUGGGCUACACACGUGCUACAAUGGAUGGUACAACGAGUUGCGAACUCGCGAGAGUAAGCUAAUCUCUUAAAGCCAUUCUCAGUUCGGAUUGUAGGCUGCAACUCGCCUACAUGAAGUCGGAAUCGCUAGUAAUCGCGGAUCAGCAUGCCGCGGUGAAUACGUUCCCGGGCCUUGUACACACCGCCCGUCACACCAUGAGAGUUUGUAACACCCAAAGUCGGUGGGGUAACCUUUUAGGAACC